AAACACCAUCAUCUCCAGCAUUACCACAGUCAAGUAUGCAGCUCGUCAUAAAUAUUUACACCUUGCAGGGUCCUUUGUGCACAACUCUGAGAGACAAAUGGCAUUUCCAGUAAUAGUUUAUUGAUUUCCAAAUGCACAGGGGCACCAAGUCCGAACAUCCUGGGAUAGCAGUAAAUCUCUCUUACAAAAUAAUUUACAGUAUGAAAAUGAUAUACUGAAACAUUAACCCAAACGUGUAAUUCCCUUGAAAGAUUCAGUGUUCCCUUGUUUAAUGUAAAGGGUGGAAGGGGAAGAUUCCUAAGGAGGGAAUGUGACUGUGCACAGGAAAAUAGGCAGAGGACAAUGGAUUCAUUGGUUCUCCCCAUUCAUGCAGUGUGGCCUGUCACUGUAGAAAGACUGGUCAGGUUUAACCCUCAUUAAGUAUUAAUCUGCUGUCCCCUCAAAGUCAUAUCAAGCCCAGUAUGGGCUCCGUGGCUUUUUUUGCACCAAUGUAUCCAUAAGUGUCUCCACUUAUUUUCAUUUUUCUGCUCUGGCCCUCGUUCUGCUGUUUCUGGUAUGUUCUCAGUUCCAAAUUAUACUAUCUUAUCUUACCAGGCAGGCCUCCAGAAUCAAGAACUGCCUGAGUCUUAUGGUUUCUGGAAUGGGACAGGGUAGGGGGCUUCAUAAGCACUGCUGGAUAAAGGCAAUAAUAAUGAGACUGAAGUCUCCCAUAUGGGCCUUCUUUUUCUCUUAGAGCUGGGCUGGACUCAAUCCAUAAUGAGAUUUUUUUAAACAUAAAAAUCUGAUGUGAUCAGCACACAGUAAACGUGCAGUUAAUUUUCUUAUUGAGAAGCAUGUAUUGCACAGCCAUUAUAUGAAUGUGGAAUUUCAGGAAUGGCAAGAGAAUAUUUUCUACUUGGGGAGAGAGGACUUCCUAGACCCUGCCACAACUACAAGGUCAUGAAUUCUGCAUUUGUGCCCUUAGGUCUAACUGGAGUAGUUAGACUCUCAGGUCACCAAAAUGGCUGGGCAUCCAAGUUUCCCAUCUUAUUAGACAUCCUGGAGGAGGGCUGGAGUGCAAUUUCCUUCAGGGCUGUCACUUUGACUCAGUGCCUUAGGAGCUAAUGACCUUUGCUAGGGAAUUGCUCUUCCUGUAAGCAAGUACCUAAGCCCCAACUAUAUGGUGACACUUGUAAUUAGGGCUGACAGAAAUCUUUGAAGUAGUACGCAAGAUAAUGAAGGGGCUGCUUUGAGUUUUCCUUAGCUCUCAAAUAUUCAUUACCUGCCUCCCUUGGUGACUUCUCUUUAGGGGUUUCAGCAAACCCUGCCACCUGCACCCAGGCAAGACCCAAUUCUGAGCUCUCUAACUUUUACUGACCUGGCAGGAGGGAAGCCUCAUCAUGCUGGGGCUUAAGGCCAAGCAGCAUGCUCCAGCUCUAGGGGAAGGUAGUGCCACUGCAGGAAGCAUCCUAGUUCUUACAUUGAUAAAUGCUGCCGGCAGGAACUUAGAAGCCUGGGCAAAAGCUGCUGCACUGUGUUUAAUGCUUCCCUGGUUAAAGUUUUAUCAGGUACUGAAGACAGCAGGAGUCUAUAAAGCAAAUCUGAAACGCUUUCUAAGUAAAAGCAAAAGUGCUUUCCUUGAGGAUCACAGAGAUAUGAUAAGUUACUGAGACAGGUUGGCAAAUAUUUUUAUAUUUCCAUUUAUAUCCACUGCAUAAAUGCUUGAAUUUCCCAAAUACUGAUUCAAAGUAGUAACAUAUGAUCAGAUAUGGAGAACCAAUGAUCUGUCUAUUGCUAAUAUAAGGCUACUAUUUGGAGAUCAAACAAUGAUUAUUGGGGAAAGACAAUACAAGCUUCCAAAUCCUAAAAUCUUUUUAAUCUUCUGAUACUUAAAUUUUUUCGAGAGUGGCCACUGGUCCUUCUUUUAGGGUACUUUUGUUGGAUAUGAUUGGUGGUUGUAAUUAAUGGUAUGCCAAAUUCUCCAGUCUUUGCAGAGAUAGGUAAAGCACCAAAAUUGUCCUAGCCAUUUCUUGGCCAUCAGUUUGAGAGAAAAAUGCUUUUUUUUUUUUUUUUUUAACACCUCAAACUCCCCUCAGCCCCAAUAUCCUGGCAUCUUUAGUGAGUCAGGACAAU
rnacentral:lncRNA from 1 species